UACGAAGGGGGCUAGCGUUGCUCGGAAUCACUGGGCGUAAAGCGCACGUAGGCGGAUUGUUAAGUCAGGGGUGAAAUCCUGGAGCUCAACUCCAGAACUGCCUUUGAUACUGGCGAUCUCGAGUCCGGGAGAGGUGAGUGGAACUGCGAGUGUAGAGGUGAAAUUCGUAGAUAUUCGUAAGAACACCAGUGGCGAAGGCGGCUCACUGGCCCGGUACUGACGCUGAGGUGCGAAAGCGUGGGGAGCAAACAGG
rnacentral:rRNA from 1 species